rnacentral:lncRNA from 1 species
UAACCAGUUCGCAUGUCUGACAUUUCAGAGUUUCCUAGUCCGACUAGCACUUGAACACGGCAUAUCACUGCCACGUGUUUACUGUUUAACAGCAAGGCACAUUCUUCUUCUUCUUUCUUAGGUCGAAAUGGCAGGAAAAUGAGUCGAGAGACGCUUAGCGCCAUAUAUUGUUGAGUUUGAGAACUUAAAAGCAAGUGACCACACCAGCACCUGUUACUUUGUGAUUGCUGCCCCGCCCACUCUUUGACUGGAAGGAGAGCGAGUGCGUGAAUUUGUUUGUGCCAUUUCUUUGGUUCUUUUCUCCCAAAUCCUGGGGGACAAUCAUCGUUGCAACAUGGUUUGGUUUCUGAUUUUCAUCUGGUUUGUCCAAGUGGGCAGUGUUCCCAUCGCCAAUUUCCCAAAUUCUACUACUUCAAAUUCUACUUUCCCUGCCACAGUGGACAACUCUACAAACCCCAUCAACAAUUCUACAAAUGUGACUUUCUCUGCCACAGGUUCUACUGCCUCGAUGGGGCCACGUCACAGACAAAAUGAUUGGUUUAAAACACCUGAAACCAGAGAAGGUAACUCAUUCAUUAGAUGAAGCGCGCAAUCCUGGACCUCUAUCAUGAGGUCUGGACUUAAAU